UGACUGACUGAGCUGGCUUGGUCAUGUGUCCAUUUGGAUUGGGCUCUACAACUCCAUAUUUUUAAAAGGAUGCCUUUCUCAGAAUAGAGAGGCCCAGUGUUCAGUCCAGGAUAUACAGCAUUCCCUCAUGAUGGCAAGAUGGCUGCUGCUUCAGUGUCAAUGUCCAUGUUCUUGUUCACUAUAUCUGCAACAGAAACCAAGUGCAGAUGUUUUUGACAGAAUGCAUGCUCAGGAAAUGAAUGUGAUUCAUUUGCAGAGUCAUGAGAAAAGUUUGACUCUGUGCUGCUUGAAUGCACACCCGGACUCUCCAUCUCUUUGAGUGGAGGCUGAAUUAAAAGUGGAGGACACUUGGUGGAUGGGUCUGGAGAUGGGAAGAACCAUUGAAGAUACAAUAGAAAACGGCGAUUUGGCAUGAACUUUGACCUUUUCUCAUGGAGCUUAGGUCACAGAGCUUCAGCAGUCACAACUUACCCAUGAGACUUAGCCUGUUUUCUGUGCCAUAACAACAUACCACAGAGCGGCUGACUUAGACUCAACCACUCUCAUCUCAAGAGUCUUAAAAGUCAAAUUUGAAGACACUGCAGAUUUUAUGACUACAUUUAUCUCCGUCCUCGCUGAAGGUGACCUCUGCUCCGAUACUUACAGGAAGACUCACUUCUGUCAUCACAUUGGAAGGUAACGUUUCAACGUAGAGAUUUGGGGGUCAAUUUUUUAAUAUACUUGAACUUUCUACAUUGAAUAUGAAGACAUCUGAAAGUAGAACUGAUCCUUUUUUGUCUCUUCCUAAGCCUUAUUUCAUAAUGGCUGUUACUAUGACUUAUGGCCCAGUACAAUGGCAGUAAAAGUGAUUAAGUGAACCUCUUUUUCUCCCCAAGUGUAAUGGAAAAGCUUCUGAGAUUUAUCUAGUGCUUAAUGUUCCUUUCCAAGUGUGUGGAUAGUGGGGUGUGGGUCUGUGAGACUACAGAGGGUAUGGAACCCAACAUGACCUUUUCUAGGCUGCCUCAAACCUUGGAUAUGAUUUUGGUCAGGAAAAAGUGUGCAGGUUUGUCAAAAGCUGCAAGAAAAACCUUAGAACCUCAAACUUCAUCUUGAUACCAAAUCAUAAACUUUGCUGUGCAGCGAAGCCUACUGUGUGCAGGGAACAUAUUGAUUUUGAUGCCUUUUAAAGCCACCUGUUUCUCUGCUUUCUUAACUAUAUCAUGUCUUCCUGAGGUAAGUGAACACAGGGAUUCAUCUAUGAAUUUCUUCUCAGAAAAACAAAGGAUAAAGGAAAACAAAUUUUUCUAUAAUAAGUAUAUUAUUGUCCAAAUAGUGUAUUUUCAUCUUCCCCCAAACAAAAUAUAGACUAACAAAAAGAAAGAAAGAAAACCUGUUGAUCACUCUUUCCCACAGAGAAAAAACUCUCUUUUAAAUUUGGCAUCCCAUGUCUAUGUAUACAAUACUGGCAUGUGUUGUAAGUUAUGAUCUGAUUUUUUAUCAGCCCCAUGCAACGAAAUACCAUGAACUUUAUUGGUCUUCAAGGCACAUAGACAGAUGACUACCAAGCCCAACAGGACUGUGGUUAAAGUGUCUGGUGUAGGGAUCUGUGUAUUUCUAAUACUUUAGAAGAUACACUCAAUUCUUGGAUGCUCCUUCAAAAAUUGCUGUUGUAACUAAUUAAUUAUCAAAUUAAAAUUUUAUGUUGAAGAGCAGUGUAAGCCUACAGUCCCAGAGCUGGGG
rnacentral:sRNA from 1 species